rnacentral:rRNA from 1 species
UACGGAAGGCAGCAGUGGGGAAUAUUGCACAAUGGGCGAAAGCCUGAUGCAGCUAUGCCGCGUGUAUGAAGAAGGCCUUAGGGUUGUAAAGUACUUUCAUCGGGGAGGAAAAAACAAAACUAAUAAUUUUAUUUCUUGACGUUACCCGAAAAAGAAGCACCGGCUAACUCCGUGCCAGCAGCCGCGGUAAUACGGAGGGUGCUAGCGUUAAUCAGAAUUACUGGGCGUAAAGAGCACGUAGGUGGUUUUUUAAGUCAGAUGUGAAAUCCCUGGGCUUAACCUAGGAACUGCAUUUUGAAACUGAAAUACUAGAGUAUCGUAGAGGGAGGUAGAAUUCUAGGUGUAGCGGUGAAAUGCGUAGAUAUCUGGAGGAAUACCUGUGGCGAAAGCGGCCUCCUAAACGAAUACUGACACUGAGGUGCGAAAGCGUGGGGAGCGAAACAGGAUUAGAUACC